rnacentral:misc_RNA from 1 species
UAAUAAGUGUUUUAUGGCACUUUUUAAAUCCAUAUCACCUUGUGUGCAAUGUCAGUCGAUCCUCUUCAUGGAGAUCGACCAAACAUCAACCUUUAUCUUUUAACUCUUUGUCUGAAAAAUAUUAUGAAUAAACAAUUCAAAAUA